AUGAACGCUAGCGACAGGCCUAACACAUGCAAGUCGAGGGGCAGCACAAGGAGCAAUCUGAGGUGGCGACCGGCGCACGGGUGAGUAACACGUAUGCAACCUGCCUGUAAGCGGGGAAUAACCCGUUGAAAGACGGACUAAUACCGCAUAAUACUAAAUUACUGCAUGGUAAUUUAUUUAAACAUUUAUGGCUUACAGAUGGGCAUGCGCAUGAUUAGCUAGUUGGAGAGGUAACGGCUCCCCAAGGCAACGAUCAUUAGGGUUCUGAGAGGAAGGUCCCCCACACUGGUACUGAGACACGGACCAGACUCCUACGGGAGGCAGCAGUGAGGAAUAUUGGUCAAUGGACGAGAGUCUGAACCAGCCAAGUCGCGUGCAGGAAGAAUGUCCCUAUGGAUUGUAAACUGCUUUUGCAGGGGAAUAAAGUGCAUCACGUGUGAUGUUUUGUAUGUACUCUGCGAAUAAGGAUCGGCUAACUCCGUGCCAGCCGCCGC
rnacentral:rRNA from 1 species